rnacentral:rRNA from 1 species
UUGGAGGGCAAGUCUGGUGCCAGCAGCCGCGGUAAUUCCAGCUCCAAUAGCGUAUAUUAAAGUUGUUGCAGUUAAAAAGCUCGUAGUUGAAUUUCGGGAUUUAUCCGUCGGUCGGGCUUUUGUGUCUGUACUGGCGUGAUGGAUUCCUACCUUCUGAAUAACCGGCAUGUCAUUAAUUUGGUGCGCCGGGGAAGCAGGACUGUUACCUUGAAAAAAUUAGAGUGCUUAAAGCAGGCUUAUGCCUGAAUACAUUAGCAUGGAAUAAUGAAAUAGGACGGCAUGGUUCUAUUUUGUUGGUUUCUAGGAUCACCGUAAUGAUUAAUAGGGAUAGUUGGGGGCAUUAGUAUUCAAUUGUCAGAGGUGAAAUUCUUGGAUUUAUUGAAGACUAACUUCUGCGAAAGCAUUUGCCAAGGAUGUUUUCAUUAAUCAAGAACGAAAGUUAGGGGAUCGAAGACGAUCAGAUACCGUCGUAGUCUUAACCAUAAACUAUGCCGACUAGGAAUCGGACGAUGUUAAUUUUUUAAUGACUCGUUCGGCGCCUUACGGGAAAC